AGCGAACGCUGGCGGCAGGCCUAACACAUGCAAGUCGAACGAACUCUUCGGAGUUAGUGGCGGACGGGUGAGUAACACGUGGGAACGUGCCUUUAGGUUCGGAAUAACUCAGGGAAACUUGUGCUAAUACCGAAUGUGCCCUUCGGGGGAAAGAUUUAUCGCCUUUAGAGCGGCCCGCGUCUGAUUAGCUAGUUGGUAAG
rnacentral:rRNA from 1 species